rnacentral:rRNA from 1 species
CACGUAGGGUGCAAGCGUUGUCCGGAAUUAUUGGGCGUAAAGGGCUCGUAGGCGGUCCGUCACGUCGGGAGUGAAAACUCGGGGCUCAACCCCGAGCCUGCUUUCGAUACGGGCGGACUAGAGGUAGGUAGGGGAGAACGGAAUUCCUGGUGUAGCGGUGAAAUGCGUAGAGAUCAGGAAGAACAUCGGUGGCGAAGGCGCUCUGCUGGACCAUAACUGACACUCAGGGACGAAAGCUAGGGGAGCGAAUGGG